rnacentral:lncRNA from 1 species
CGCGCUCCAAGAGUGUAUUUGUGUAUCGGCGGUCCCGCAGGUCCCGGAUGUUGCGGGCAGUAUGAGGCGAGCGCAGGGGGACAGGGACCAGCAGCUGUCGCCGCCGUUCUCAGGGUGAAGAAAGACCAGAAAUCUUUGCCCCCUGACUUUGGAGACCCAGUUUAACCUUCAAACUGGCGAUGUCAAGGGUUCCAAGUCCUCCACCUCCGGCAGAAAUGUCGAGUGGUCCUGUUGCUGAGAGCUGGUGCUAUACACAGGUGUUUGCGAGUAAACCCGAAGGGGCUGGAUGAGGAAAGCAAA